rnacentral:rRNA from 1 species
ACGUAGGAGGCAAGCGUUAUCCGGAAUUACUGGGCGUAAAGGGCGUCUAGGCGGACGGGCAAGCGCGAUGUGAAAUCUCCCGGCUUAACUGGGAAACUGCAUCGGAAACUGAUCGGCUUGAAGGUGGGAGAGGGUAGUGGAAUUCCCGGUGUAGUGGUGAAAUGCGUAGAUAUCGGGAGGAACACCAGUGGCGAAGGCGACUACCUGGCCCAUUCUUGACGCUGAGGCGCGAAAGCUAGGGGAGCGAACGGG